GAUAAGGGGUCGUUAGUUUUUAAGGGUCCUUUGAAGGGUAACCUUCAAUUGUAUAUUGGGUGAAUUGCUGGAACGUCCUUAAAGCCGUUUUCCCUACAGCGCAGUUCGAAAGGACAAACGCGACAGGUAGAAAAGUGAAACGGAUUGGAUAAUCAGCAGCCGAGCUCCUGUACCGAAAGGUUGGAGAAGGUUCAACGACUAAGACGUACCGGCUAAGGCAGAUGCUAUGCCGAUGAGGUCUGUAAGGCACGAGGCAGCCUGAAGUACCCAACCCCGGAAUUUGCCGGGUGAAGAUAUAGUCUGGCAGUUAUUGAAAGAUAGCU
rnacentral:ncRNA from 1 species